ACCACCUACCCAGCUCCCCUGUGCAGCCGCCGGCGCGUCAUGGGGCGCAUCCGCGCGGCGUGCGACGGUGCGAGGCGAGGAACCAAUCCCUGGCCCAACCUCCCAUCCCCCCGCCUCCGAACCAUUCUUACGGCCUGGUUGCGCCCUCGCGAGCAUCCCACACCCACUCCCAUCACUCCCUGGUGUCCGGCGAGAUCCGCCGGGCAGGGCUCUCGCGGACGCGCGCGCAGUCUGGGCAGCGGCAUCCACCGCGCAGCGCCCCCUGCCCCGACACGCCGGUCGGAAUCUUCUGCUGGCAACGCCCGGCGACCGGCGCGCGCCGUGCAGCCCGAGGAGACCCUGCAGCAAGCCGUGCUCGCCCGGAUGGGCGGAGUACGAGCAGGAGUGGAUUCCGUGGUGCACCACGACGUCGACGGCUUCUCUUCGCCACCGAGCUCUGCUCCCCUCCCUGUGCAUCAGGAUGAAGCUUAAACAGGUACAGGACGGGUAGAUGUCGCGAAAGGAAUACUCAUGGUUUCUGAAGACUGACUAUGCCUGAGUACUACACAGCAACAAACUCAGCAAUGUGCUCGGGGACAGUGUCUUCAGUGUCGAGUCCAAGUGCUAUGUCUGAACCAAUAUUAUGAUCAAUGCUUCUCUCUGUUCCUCGAAGUGAUGCAUGGUGAUCAUAGUAAGUGCCUUCACGAGAAUGAUUUCCUGAAGAACCAUUUUGUUUUAACAAAUGUAUAAAUGCAAACUGAAAAAAAGUCGUGUGUAAGGGCGAUACCGAUUGAUGUUUCCACAUGCGGCACUGGCUGAAAGGCCUUGAGAUUGCCGGCUAUAGGAAUCAUCAUAGGCAGUUGCAUGGGCACAUUGUCAUCAUCAUCGGAAGACGAAACACUAUAGUUAGUAGUGCCUGUUUGUUCGCGUAUGAAAAAACCAGAUGGUGGUCGGUGUGUAUUGGUGAGUUGUGAUCUGGGUGUCCUCUCAUAUUCGACAACUGAUAAGAUUAAUGUAAGUUAAGUUGUGAAGCUUAUUGAAUACCUUAUGUGCAGACACAUACCUUUUUUUCCUUUAUCAUAGAGAUGCUCUUUGUCCUGUGACAUCUUUCUGUCCUAUAGAAGCUUAAAUAAACCUGCAGUCUUUUUGCAUUAAAAAAUGAUAUGAAUUGAAUUACAAAAAUGAUAUGACCUCUGGUGACUCAUUUAACAGGCUUUUUGGACUCACUUGUUCAUUUUCAUAGACAUGUUCUUCGCAUAUGGUUUUAAAAUGAUUGUGCUAUUAUAUGUUGACGGCUGAAGUUUGUAUAUUUCAGUUUAUAAAGUGCAAGAUUUUGUAGAAGUUCAAUUUUUUUAAAAGAGGGCUCAGACAUGGCGACAAGAAUGAAGGUGGAGGGGAAGGAGUGGAGAGAAAGAUGUCUGUCUCCACGUGGCGCGAAAAAGACUAUACAGGAUUCUGUAUUAUGUCGCGUUAAAACAAUCUGGAAUAUAAAGGAUUCUGGAGUUUAUAAAGUGCAAGAUUUUGUAGAAGUUCAAUUUUUUAAAAAGAGGGCUCAGGCAUGGCGACAAGAAUGAAGGUGGAGGGGAAGGAGUGGAGAGAAAGAUGUCUGUCUCCACGUGGUGCGAAAAAGACUACAGGAUUCUGUAUUAUGUCGCGUUAAAACAAUCUGGAAUAUAAAGGAUUCUGGAGGAGUCUAGGAUGGCAAACCUAGGGCGUGAUGGGUAGCAUGAAACAUAACAAAGGUGGAUAUCCGUCCUUUGCCGUUGGAGAGGAAGAAGACGGUAGGCGGGCUCAGGAGAUGACGCAGAAACAGCCGUCGAACGAGGCGAUCAGCAGAGGCUGCAGCUCCUACAGCUCGCGUUUCUGUUUUGGCGGCGUGCGCUCGCGUGUGGAUGGAGCUCGUACGCCAGGAAGAACUGGCGUCUCGAUGGAGCUCGUACGCCAGGAAGAACUGGCGUUCGUUGGUGGGUCGAAGAAGUUUGAUUUUUGGUCGAUGGACCUCGUCCUCGUUCGUGGGUUGCGGAGCUGUUUUUUAUUGACUGGGCGCGAUCGUGGGGUUCCAUGGACUUGUCGCUCGUGUGUAGAACUGUGGAUCUCGUACGUGGGCUGAGUUGGUGUAUUUUUUUGUUUGCAGGCGCUGAGUUGGUGAUUUUUCGUA